UCCUCCCCGGCACGGCAGGAAGUGCGGCGGGCGCUACCUGCGCCGGGAAUUUGACCCCUCCGCAGGUCGCAGCCGUCCCCGGUCCCAGGCCUUCCCCCCGCCGGCCUCCUCCUGGCUCCGGGUGCCGCGGGAGGCUCCGCGGCAGCAUCCCGCAGCGAUGCCGGAGCGAGCGGGCACGGCCGAAGGCAGCAGCCCCCCGUUUCGCCGACCGCAUCGGUUCAGUGGGAAAUAGCCCAAUACCACGCUUACUUAUUUCUCGAUUUUUUUAAACAUAGGCCGGCUGUGAAUGCAUGAGCACCGGCAAUCGAAACGGCACGUGGCAUCGUCUCACGCGCAGGGAAACUGAGGCACGCCGGGAGGAGCGGCUCGCCGAGGCCAGCACUGAACGCAGGGGCCCCGUUUGCUUGCACGAGCCCCCCGGGCGCACGGGGCUGCGGCACGUCUGCCGACGCGGGUGUCCGAGCGGGGACGCCGGGGCCCGGCUGCCGGGGAAACGCGGGGCCAGAGGAGCUAAAUCCUGCAAAUCCGCUCGCUUCGUUGCGUUUGCAAGGGGGAGAGAGGGCUGAACCACACCUCUCCUCCAGGACGGGAUGAAAAAAUAGCAGUACUUACAGAACCAGUUCCACCCGAACGGGAAAAUAUUCAGCGUUAAAUUACGUCAGUGCUUUCCUUAACCCCUGCUUAGUCCUGGCCGCGGGACCCGCGGCUGCAGCCCGUGGGCAGACAAGCCGGGGAGACGGGGGGCCGAGGGGGGCUGCCCCCCACGGCCGAGGCUGGAGGUUUAGGAUGAAGAGGUGGUUUCUGACCCGCCGAACGCUGCGUGGGGAGGCCGGUCUCCCCCGGCUGCACCCAACGCUUGCUCAUCCCCACCGCGACCUCCGGCCAAGCCACCGAGGUGGCCCCGCGCCGGCAGCACCCAGCCCGACGCCGAAGCUCCCGCCGAGCCGAUCCCGGGCGAGCGGCCCAAGCUCCCGGCGCUCCUCCCCGGGAGGGGAGGCACGUGAUUAAGCGGGCAGGAAGGUCGGCGCUGGCGUGUCGGCUCUUGCUCACCUACCGUGGACCUCUGCUUGGCCAACCAGCGUUACUCGCGCCUGCAACACCACCCUUCUCGCUCCUUCUCCAACACACGGGUCUUCUUCUGAGACCUCUUCCUGCUCCUAAUCCUGGAGCGCAGCAGCUGGCUGGGAAAACGAGCGACCAAGAAGCUCCUGCAAAGAUUUAUGUAUCUCCAUCCGUGUUUUCAUCCCUUCUGUCUCUAAAAGGGCAGUUUAAGGCGCCGGUGCAGCUCGACAUAAGCCCACACAGCUCUGCUUUGGGAGGUGAUUGAGCCUGGUCCUAAACCCGCUAGAUUUCUUGCACCAUAAACUUCAAAUUGUCUCCGUUUUCCGCAGGACCAAUUAUUAUUUUUAAGCCCUUAUUUUUCUAGUGCUGCCCCUCUUUCCUCCCAAAUGUAGUAGUUAAGAACACGAGGACAAAGGUGCCGGACAGAACAGCAUUUCCCGCGAAAAUAAGAUUUCUAAAGGGGAAGGAGGAAAAGAAAGGCUGCUUUUGAGAAAAGCCACCAGCAUCUUAAAUUGAAAAGCUGCAUUUGCAUUGCGGUGACAACUGCUUUCAUACAGCCCAGCUUGGGCAUCGGGUACAAGCACAAAAACAGCUCUAACGACAAGGGGUAGCAUGGCCCGGAAACCAGCAGAUUUAACCCAAACGACAUCCCGGGGCAGAAUAUGAGCAAUUCCAGAAGAAAAUACCCCAAAAGGCAGCCACGCGGUGACGGCGCGAGCAUAAUAACAGCAUCCCGCGGCUGAAGAGGAGGCACGGCGACGCUUGAGGCAGGGCCGGUAUUUCCCAGGAUAAGGGGAAGCGGCCGGCGCUCCUCGCCGACGGGAAGACGACCCGGCCCAGGCCGGCGAGAGGAAGCUGGGGAUGAACGAGUGUAUUUUUGCCCGUUGAGUCACUUCCGGCGGACCCGGCUCGGCGCUCGCGUUGCCGCGCGUUUCGCCUCGGAGAGGUCGCGGCUGCUCCGGGACGCAUCCGUCCAGCCCGCGGCCGGCUCGGGAAGGCGGCGGGGCGGCUUGGACGGCCGCACGGGACCUACCCCCUGCCACCUCCACGCUCACACCACCUCUGUCACCGCGGGCCAGCAGCCGCAGCCAGCUCGGUGCCGCGAGUACGGCCGCGCCGGUCCUGCGUUUUCCUCGCUUCCCAUUUCGCUCGUGUUUUUCCCAAGUUAAAGCGAGCCGGCGCAGCUGCCUUUCGCGCGCGGGGCUCCCCGGCUGCCCUCCAGCCAGAGGAGACCUCAGUUCACACGGCAAUUAGACGAUUUGCAGGAGAAAAAGCCACCCAGGGCAAUUAGACGUGAAAAACUCCCGUUUGCAGGAGGCUGGUGCCUGCGACAGCAGAUGGCCAGAGCGCCGGUGCCGGGAGGAAAAGCCUCGCUCGUGCCCUUGCUCGGUGCCUUUCCUUAGGCACCUGCUGCGGCUUGUUUCCGAAGAGCCCCGACGAGCCUUUGCAGAGGGUCAGCAUCGCACCCGGGCACCGCUCGCGCCUCGCUGGGGCCGGUCCUUUCCAAGCUGGAUCCGCUCUCCAGAACAGAGCUAGGCAUAAAAAACAAAUUGCUGCAAGCCACUAACAAAUAUCCAUCGCCUGGAACAAGAAAAUGAGGAGACCUCUUAAAAGCAAGGCACACGUGCCCCUUACCCUCUGCUUUAUUGAAACUACAAAUACACGUUUUCGCUUGCUUUUUGCUAUAGAACAUUUCUUCUCCUGAGAUGGAAAAGCAACACGAGAUGGAAAAGCAACAGCAUUACCCUGACACUGCAUCAAGGGCAGCAGCGACCUUUAAAAACAACGCGAGCGUCAUAUCUGAAAGGAGACCCUCGAGGCCAAGGACACCGUUCCCUCGCUCUGCAGGAGCGCCCGGACCCCCUGAAAGGGGAGAAAUCAUUCAAGAGGCUACGUCAGGAAAAUAUGAUGCUAAAAAGCUAAAAAAGCAAACAAAAAAAAUAGACUGCAGCACGCCGGUUUUAAGGUAAUAACGUGAAUCAACUCACGGCCGCCCCGGCAAGGCCCAGGGUGGGCACCGUGGUGGGAAAGCUGCCUCCGGCCCCGGCUCCUUCCCCGCUCUGACUGCGCUGCAAAACGAAGCGAGAAGCCGUUUCAGAGCAGAGCCGGUUCCUUCCUUCAGCUCCUCGUUCAAAACAAACUUUUCUUCAAAUUGACACAUUUUUGUCAAACACUUCACUUUUGACAAAUUGGUGUUAGCGCGAGAAAAGCGCUCGGCUGGGGAAUUUCCAAGCACUCUGGGAAGCAUCAGUCUCGUUUUACAGACGUGGAAAAAAACCCCCAAAAGUGUGACAGCGGCGAGGUCGCACGCCUCCCACCCCGCCGCAACGCCGGGCGAUGGGAGACCCUGAGCUCCAAGGGCUCGGUGCCACCCCGGCGCUCAACUGCCCCUGUUUCUCCACCAAAAGGGUGCUGCUCCUGCUUUAUACCACGGCGAAGAGGUCUCAGAAGAGAGGGAAUUUGGUUAAAAAGAGAAAACAAAUAAAAAUUAUCCUAAUCAGCAUUCAAAGACAGUCACUGGAAAAAAGGAAAGGGAGGGAGCACGUGAUGCAUGGCUGGGCGUCAUUGUGGAGCGCUUCGUCUUUAUCUCCUAAGGAUAAAAAUCCACCACCAAGUUCAAGAGGGGACGUAAAGAUACUGCAGUGCCAGAGCUCAGGGGCUGCUAUGAAAGCAACACGACGACUCACAUAUUUAAUAAAAGAUGUCAGAUUUAGGCUUCAAAUGUGUACGACGGUGCCCUGGUCCGGAGAAUAAUUUAAGUUUCACGUUAAUAAUACGAAAGGUCCCAACUAGUUUCGUGUUGUUUAAGUGCUUUUUUCUCAGCAGUCACGAGUGCCGGAUCUUCAGGCGGCAUAAAUCAGGACGGCUCUUUCGCCUGAGGGCAGCUAUCCUGAUUUACACAGGCCAAAGGCCUGCUGUAAGAGGAUGGGAAAAAAACGUAUUUUAAAUGGAGCUCAGUCCACUUGUGCCAGCAAAAUAUGUGUUUGUGUUAGCUACAUAUUUCUUUUCUUCCCCGGGGAAAAUCUAAAUAAAUAAAGCACUGGAAAGAACUGGCAAUCAAAUCAUACCAAAUGAAUCCAUCCUCAUGAAAAACAAGCGAGCAAAGCAGGAUAAUGUUACCCAAGCUCACUUUAGAAAUGAUUUGUUCGUUUUAUUUGUAGGCAUUUCCGUAGCUGCUCAUCACCAUAACGCCUGAGCAGAAAAGGCAGCAGCCGCUUUUGUCGUUGUCCAGAUACUUAAUCUCGAGAGUCUAUUUGCACGGAUUUUGUGUUUCCAGGCUGUUCAUACCAUCUUGCUCAAUGUCCACCCUCCAGCUGACAUCAGCGGAGAGCAAGGGACUUUUUAGUGGGUAGAAAGGGAUUGCACGGAAAGGGAAGCCAAGCACCAAACCUUUGGGGAAGUUCAGCCCCCUCCACGCAACACCGGCACAGCAGAGGUGUAGGAAGAGUUUCAACCAGCAAAGAGCGGAAAAGGCAACAAGAAGCUGUCCCACCAGCGCACGAGCAAACGCGAAGCAGUUGCUUCGGUCUUUGCAACGAGGUAUUAAUUACACAGCAAUCAGAACGCAAAUGGAGACUGGAGCGGUCACUUGGGACACGUCUGUCUCUCCACGAGCCACCGCGAGCUCACACGGUGGUUGCCCUCCAUGGAAAACUGCAUCCGUUUCACACUGCGCCUAUAUUUAGGUGCAGUUCCCAAGGGCUCCUUCUCCACGGCCAAGACAAGCAGCAAAACGAACCAGCCCAAGAGCACACCAGAAGAGAGAGAGCAGACAAAUCCUGGAGCCAAGUGUCCGAAUGCCACCCCACCAGGUGCCUGCCUGGGAAAAAACGGAGCAAAGGAGGGAGACGAAACAGAAAAGCUUGGAUCAGAGAAGCAUCAGGACCAUGCAAUGCUCUUCAGUGUCAGUUCACUCCUGGCAACGCUCCUCCGUGUUGAGUCCACCCGAGUCUCCUCUACUUGAGCUUGCAGAAGAAUCCACAGUCUAAGUAAAAGGCUUGCUCUUGUUUCAUCUAGUUUAAUACAGUAGCAUCGACUGACCCAGAUACACUUGAAAACGUAAGGAAUAAUUUUAUUAACCAGGUUUGAAUUUCAGCUGAUUUCUACUGCGUGUUGGUUUUGCUCUCAGUGUAAUUCUUCCACGAUUGCAAUCCUACACCUCCAUCCAUCGGGAUUUAAUUUCGAGGAGGCAAAGGUAAGCGCAGACACAGCUGCACCGUUUACACUGGGACUGCCAAAUAACGAAGCCGAGGGUAGGAGACGUCUGGAUCUGUGAUGCUUGCUCGGUCCCAACCGAUUCACAGAUCACUGGACCAGCAACAUUCGUCAUUGCCCUGAGACUCACCCGAAAGCCUGCAACGUGCAGGGGAACGGGACAAGGUGCUCAGCACGGCCAGCGGCGAGCUUUACAAUAUUGAUGAGGGACUCAGAAACGUGGGCACUCUUCGAGGACUUUGAACUUCUAAACCCCAUCAGAAUCAAUAUUUUUCCUCUUAAAAAACGCUGCGAGAAAAGUACAUCUAAUAGAGAUUCAGUGUUAUUCUGCAUUUUACAUUAUUCAUUGAAUCUCAUCCUAUGUCAUGCUGCAGCGCAUAUAUUACCAUACGUGAUGACAAAGAAAUUACACUACUGCAAAUACACGAUAAAGCAGCAGCCUUGGCUACUAACUGCACACCAAACUGCCAAACUCUAAUUAGUAAUAUGUAAUUAAGCUCACAUACACGGAGGUUGUGCCAGUGGCUUUACAGAAGCCCCAGGACCAGGCUCAGGACCGGCCUCAUUUUCCAGGCAAGCGACAGCGCAACGAAGCAAGAGGAUACCUAUACAUACAAUUAAAUGUAUACAUCGAAUAUUGCAGCACUAUCAUUAAUUACAAAAAAUUCUCACUUCUUCUGAAUCCCACCCAUCUUGGCCUCAGCAAAUACGUUGCCCCAAGGAGGUUUCCUUUCGAAGGGAAGGAGGGAAGGUCGUCCCUGGCACGCUGCCCCGAUGGAAAUACCCAAAAAGAAGAAAGCCUACCAGGAAAGGCUAAUAAUUUAUAUACAUGCAUACGUUAUAUAUGUAAAACUGUGCUUCUGUUUCUAAAAUCAAACUAAUUUGCAUCCUCAAUAACAUGCAUGGUGUGAAUGGGGUUGAAGGCAGGCAAGAAUUUGGACACACUUUACUAACCAGACGCUAGUGCCUCUUUUUGAAGCCGCACUUGAGCUUUCACCGAGAGUUUCAAAUAGGCAAUUCUAAUGAUCCCUCUUCAUUAACGACCCGGUUCCCUCUGCAGUUGAAUGCACGUUGAAAAAAUCCAGGGUAGAAAAUGUCCUUUUACAAUAUCAACUUUGAAAAGGCGCAAUUUGCCAUUUGCCUGCUUUUCUGGCCAUCUAAAAACCGCAAACUGAUCCUAGCGAAAGUUAACCAUAAUCUCGAUUUAAUAGUGCAAUCCUAUGGCUGCUCUAGGGCAGAAUUCAGCCAAAUGAAGGUAAACGCGUGGACGGACGCAACAAGCCACUACCACGAUACUACUUGAGGCUGUGAAAAGCAACAGGGUUUGCGGGUGUGCACAAGUGAAGAUGGCAAGCGGCAAUGCAGAACGAUGCGAGAAGAUGGUUUCUGGUUGUUUAUGGGAAUCACAAAAAAGACAAAAAUGGCUGAAAAAGCCUCCGAGGCAGGGUGGGGAAGCCCUGCAGCCCGGGUUGCUCGCGGGCCACCGCUGGGGAGGGGACAUCGGAGCCGAUGGGCGCCCGAAGCACGGCAGCUGGACGGACGGACCUGUGACCGGCACGCCACGGCGGAGCCCGUCCUCCUACUGUCUGCCUAGAAAACAGGCUAUAAAUGCCUCAACGCCCUCCAAAAUCCAUCCCUACUAACUUAGGGGACAGGUUUCAUCGUCCAAAGCAACACAGUAAAAAUCAUUACUAAGUGACUAAGAGCUGCAAUUUCUGAAGCUUUUCUCUCCUACAAGCCUGCAAGGACCAAGUGCCGGACGAGCGCCCCAGGUCCAGGUGUUCGACCUCUCCGGGCACGACUACAAAACCGCGAGAUAUCUUCGAACGUAUCAACUUAAAUCACAUUUUGAAAAGGGAACUCGGGCCCUUAGGUCACUUCACACUUUGGAUGGUUUUAUCUCCCAUUCCUGCAAAACCCAGAUGACUCUGCGCGCGGGCCGGAGAGCCAGCACCGCUCCCUUCCGUGACGGCCCGGAGAAACGCCUUUGCGGGAGCCAUCCGUCAUCUUCGGGCGCUUUUGUUCCUCUAAGUGCUUCGAUUCACAUUCGCACUUCGCUCCACCAUCCAUAAUCAGGAGCUUUCGGCCUCAAUUGCGCCGCCAAAACCUGCAGAAGCAUUCAGUCCUACGAAAGGGGUUUUCAACGCCUACAAACUCCCUCUCUCCGUUCGCUGUCAGCUUGUUUGCAGAAACUCGGUGCCAUUAGGUUUCCUGACGGUACAGAAGAGCUAUCGAGAAAAAGCUACGGAAAAAAUGGUUUUAUGCAGAACUGGCACAGGGGAGAAAGCCCUGGCCGUGGGCUGCUUCUCCUGUUUCUUCACCACCACCGCAGCUUUAUUCCCGCGCUGCCGUACGCGUACAACGUCACAGCGGCUGCUUCUGCAGGACGGAGCGGGCCGUUUCCCCGCACCUCUGCUCCGAAGGUGAAGCUUAUGGUUUUCAGCUUUCGACUUCACGAUCUCUGUAGCUGAAUGCCCAUUUUUGAAUAGCUAAUAGUGGAAAAAGUAAACAGUAGCAAUCCUAGGAGACAGGUACCUCAGAAGCAAUCAUUUCACCUGAAAACUAAAUGUGAUCAAGAAUCACUUAAGCGAUUCGUCAGCACCGCUCCGCAGCAGGACUCGCCGGCGCUGCUUCCCUGGCUGCGGGCCAGCUUUCUUUGGGAAAGCACGGAAAGAUGUAUUUUUAACGUUUCAUAAAGUGGUUUUGUCUUCCCCUAGAUGGAUGGAACAGGAAAGGGGAAAAAAAGGCACUUUGUAAUUGUAACACUAAAUCUGCUUCUAUCAGAGCCCGGAUCGGCGUGCCGGGGCUCUGAGCUGAUUUAUGGCCCUGCUUCAGGAGGGGGAAGCAGGGAAAGAAAAAAGAAAAGAAAAAGAUCAAGCGCUGAUCCAGACUCCACCUUGGCUCCAGUUGCCACUUAUUUAACAUUUCACACUUCCCGGGUAGAAGUAAUAACGCCAGGAAACCCCCCAAUAUUUUUCUUCAUUCUCCUCCCUGCUCUAUGUACUGCUCCCAGAAGACCUCACAGACUCGAAACUCUUCAGAGCUAUUUUUCGCCUUAGGAAACCAGGGAGGUUUUCAGCAUUUCAGAUGUUACGUCCUUUGCCUUAGACGCGCUGGGACAGCUCCUGACGUCCCGCGGGGCUUCGGCAGAGCCGCCCGCUCAGGGCCACCGGCAGCCCUGGGUUUCAGCCAGCGACAGCCAGCAGGACUUCAGAGCAUGCAGGUCCAGGCAGCGAUACGAUGAACGAACGGCUCGAUAAGAUAAACCCCCCCCUUCCUGUGGAAGCGCGGUUCGCCCUCGCCCCUCCAGGAUCACCAACAUUUGAUGCCAUCUGAAAGCAAACAAAACCGUCCCGGAGCGACGGUCGAGACGGAAACACUCUGGGCUUCUGCCGAGGAGUUCAGCCCUUGCAAUCUGCCCCGUAAUUCGGCUUGCCAUUCCUGGCACCUUCAGGAAACGGGCUGGAUUUUGAAAUAACCUUACCGAACAUCAACUCGGCGCUAUUGAAAUGCAGAGCGCGGCGAAGACUGAUGAUCUCGGGCAGCUCCGGAGACAACAACCCGAUCGCCCAACGCACGGGUAUUCAUUACCGCUAAUUCUCUCUUAUUGGAGAAGAAGGAGGAAAAGAAAAGCGAGCGGUCAACAAGGAAACAAAGCCCUCUUUAGCAGCCCAGCUUGCCAAGCCGCGUCCGAUAAGAGCGGUCCAGAAAGCGGGCAGAAAGCGAGGACCGCCAGCCGGCCGGCAGUGACCCGGCGGGCAAAGCUCGCUGCAGCCGCCUGCCAAGAGGCGCCCGCGGCCAGGAGCGAGGCAGCCGCCCAGCAGCCUGCAAGGCAGCCGCGGCAAAAAACCAGCCUGGGAACACCAGAAUAAGUCAGUGCAGGGCUGACCCGGGAGCCAGCGCUGCUGGCACCCAAAGCUUCGCUCCUGCCCCAACGCCGCGCUUGCAGAGCUGCCCGGGGACCAUUUGAGAGCAAACAAGCAGAACGCACCACUACUUACACACGCAUUUUUUUUUAAACACCUGUAGUCAAAUAUAAGCUUCAUUUUAUACCAAUUAAUCCUAUAGCCAGCGAUUUUCUUCUGCUGCUCUUCAGCUACUUGGGAAAUCCUCCCGAAAGAGCGCUCGGGGUUAAACGGGGAUUACGUUGUUUAGCGAGGCAGUUAUACUGCCUCCGAUAAGAGGAUCUAAUCCUGAAUGGAGAAGCGUCAGCUCUACGGAUAUUUGCAAGCAAAAAUUAAAAUGCUGAUAGCGUCCGGCGCGUGCCUUAUCCCGAAGGAGCGGAAGAGAGGUAUUUGAUCUGACUCUGUCUGAGGAAGGAGAGCGGGGCUCCGUGGUCGAAGGCAGCAUCGCCUGGUACCCAGGAGCAAGCCGAAACGCGUUGGCUUCCUUCAGAGCCUGGGAGUUUCUCCUACCACCUGGAUGAGGCCCGCAGCCGCGGAGAUGACGCCGACGUCCCAUCACGGCCAGCUCCAGCUCCAGGCUUUAUACCGGCACCACCGGCUCCCCUGAUGCUGGGGCGAGAUGCAGGAAAAAAAAAGCAGGACCACGGGAAGAGUCUCCAGACAUGACCGAGCCAAAGCAACACUGGAGAAGAAAAUCGCCGGGACUUCAGCGCAGACCGGCGACACACGGUCCCUGUUGGACUGCUCUGGACCAUCUUUUUUAUUUAUUUAUUUUUUUAAAUGUGCACGGAGCCCAGGGAAGCGGCUCAUACGUGAAGGAGAUCGAUUCUUCUCCCACUCACCGAACUCUUCAUGAAGAGUUAUUCAAAUCCAAUGAUUUUUCUUCCCUUUUUGUAUUUAGCAUAUUGCAGCCACAGGAUGGCGGAAAAUAAAAAACCCAUCAGAUUGA